rnacentral:rRNA from 1 species
UACAGAGGGUGCAAGCGUUGUUCGGAAUUAUUGGGCGUAAAGCGCGUGUAGGCGGCUUGGCAAGUCGGGUGUGAAAUCCCUCAGCUUAACUGAGGAAGUGCGCCCGAAACUGCUUUGCUUGAGUGUCGGAGAGGAUGGCGGAAUUCCCCCAAGUAGAGGUGAAAUUCGUAGAUAUGGGGAGGAACACCAGUGGCGAAGGCGAUCACCUGGGGUUGUUCUGACGCUGAGGAGCGAAAGCUAGGGGAGCAAACGGG